GCCCGUCCUCGGAUCUCCCCCGUUCGCCCCCACUCACUCAGACAAAUCAGAAACCAUGAGCCUGAUUCCCAAAGAAUAAAAGAAGAGGGUAGAAAGAAAAAGCAUUUUCUUUGUGGAGUUGUACUACAUACUGGAGGAAUCUAAUUACUUUUUUUGUGGAGCUGGUGGCUGUAUGCAAGUUCUUUACCUGUUGCAUUAUGGUCUCCUAUAUCCUUUUCUAUGGAGGACUUAAUGUAUCUGUGGCUAUUGCAACUUAAAAGGCCUAAGGAGCAUGCUGUUCUAUAAAUAUAACAGUGGCAGCAACAAGCACAUCUUUCUUUUGAUUUUAGAAUAAUUUUAAACCUAUAUUGGAUUCAAAGGAAAAAUAAAAUCAAUA